UCAAGAACCUUCCACAAUGGACGAAAGUCUGAUGGAGCGACGCCGCGUGGUUGAUGAAGUGCUUCGGCACGUAAAGACCUUUUAUGAGGGAAGAAGUUUAUUGACGGUACCUCAUGAAUAAGGGGCUCCUAACUCUGUGCCAGCAGGAGCGGUAAUACAGAGGCCCCGAGCGUUAUCCGGAAUUAUUGGGCGUAAAGGGUGUGUAGGUGGCAUUGUUAGUCGUUUGUGAAAUCCUGGGGCUUAACCUCAGAUCCGCGGACGAAACGGCAAUGCUUGAGUGGAGGAGAGGUAAGCAGAACUCAUGGUGUAGGGGUGAAAUCCGUUGAUCUCAUGGGGAAUACCAAAAGCGAAGGCAGCUUACUGGCCUCUUACUGACACUGAAACACGAAAGCGUGGGUAGCGAAUGGGAUUAGAUACCCCGGUAGUCC
rnacentral:rRNA from 1 species